CUUAGAUUUGGGUGGCGGACGGGUGAGUAACGCGUAAAGAACUUGCCUCACAGCUAGGGACAACAUUUGGAAACGAAUGCUAAUACCUGAUAUUAUGAUUUUAAGGCAUCUUAGAAUUAUGAAAGCUAUACGCGCUGUGAGAGAGCUUUGCGUCCCAUUAGCUAGUUGGAGAGGUAACGGCUCACCAAGGCGAUGAUGGGUAGCCGGCCUGAGAGGGUGAACGGCCACAAGGGGACUGAGACACGGCCCUUACUCCUACGGGAGGCAGCAGUGGGGAAUAUUGGACAAUGGACCAAGAGUCUGAUCCAGCAAUUCUGUGUGCACGAUGACGUUUUUCGGAAUGUAAAGUGCUUUCAGUUGGGAAGAAAAAAAUGACGGUACCAACAGAAGAAGUGACGGCUAAAUACGUGCCAGCAGCCGCGGUAAUACGUAUGUCACGAGCGUUAUCCGGAUUUAUUGGGCGUAAAGCGCGUCUAGGUGGUUAUGUAAGUCUGAUGUGAAAAUGCAGGGCUCAACUCUGUAUUGCGUUGGAAACUGUGUAACUAGAGUACUGGAGAGGUAAGCGGAACUACAAGUGUAGAGGUGAAAUUCGUAGAUAUUUGUAGGAAUGCCGAUGGGGAAGCCAGCUUACUGGACAGAUACUGACGCUGAAGCGCGAAGCGUGGGUAGCAAACAGGA
rnacentral:rRNA from 1 species